rnacentral:rRNA from 1 species
CCUACGGGAGGCAGCAGUGGGGAAUCUUGCGCAAUGCGCGAAAGCGUGACGCAGCAACGCCGCGUGGGCGAAGAAGGCCUUCGGGUCGUAAAGCCCUUUCAGCGGGGACGAAGCUCCGGCGGCGAAUAGCCGUCCGGAGUGACGGUACCCGCAGAAGAAGCCCCGGCUAACUACGUGCCAGCAGCCGCGGUAAUACGUAGGGGGCUAGCGUUGUCCGGAAUCAUUGGGCGUAAAGCGCGCGUAGGCGGCCAGAUAAGUCCGGUGUGAAAGUCAAAGGCUCAACCUUUGAAUGCCGCUGGAAACUGUCUGGCUAGAGUCCGGAAGGGGCGAGUGGAAUUCCUGGUGUAGCGGUGAAAUGCGCAGAUAUCAGGAGGAACACCAAUGGCGAAGGCAGCUCGCUGGGACGGUACUGACGCUGAGGCGCGAAAGCGUGGGGAGCG